rnacentral:rRNA from 1 species
GGUGAUCUAGCCAUGGGCAGGUUGAAGGUUGGGUAACACUAACUGGAGGACCGAACCGACUAAUGUUGAAAAAUUAGCGGAUGACCUGUGGCUGGGGGUGAAAGGCCAAUCAAACCGGGAGAUAGCUGGUUCUCCCCGAAAGCUAUUUAGGUAGCGCCUCGUGAAUUCAUCUCCGGGGGUAGAGCACUGUUUCGGCUAGGGGGUCAUCCCGACUUACCAACCCGAUGCAAACUGCGAAUACCGGAGAAUGUUAUCACGGGAGACACACGGCGGGUGCUAACGUCCGUCGUGAAGAGGGAAACAACCCAGACCGCCAGCUAAGGUCCCAAAGUCAUGGUUAAGUGGGAAACGAUGUGGGAAGGCCCAGACAGCCAGGAUGUUGGCUUAGAAGCAGCCAUCAUUUAAAGAAAGCGUAAUAGCUCACUGGUCGAGUCGGCCUGCGCGGAAGAUGUAACGGGGCUAAACCAUGCAC